rnacentral:rRNA from 1 species
AGUCUUGACCUCGGAUCAGGUAGGGAUACCCGCUGAACUUAAGCAUAUCAAUA